GGAUCUAUCGUAUAGUGGUUAGUACCUGAGGCUUUAACCCUCAAGACCUUGGUUCGAAUCCAAGUAGGUCCU
rfam:Paramecium tetraurelia chromosome undetermined scaffold_135, whole genome shotgun sequence.